CAGUCGCCGCGGGAAAACGAAGGGGGCUAGCGUUGUUCGGAUUUACUGGGCGUAAGGCGCACGUAGGCGGACUUUUAAGUCAGGGGUGAAAUCCCGGGGCUCAACCCCGGAACUGCCUUUGAUACUGGAAGUCUUGAGUAUGGUAGAGGUGAGUGGAAUUCCGAGUGUAGAGGUGAAAUUCGUAGAUAUUCGGAGGAACACCAGUGGCGAAGGCGGCUCACUGGACCAUUACUGACGUUGAGGUGCGAAAGCGUGGGGAGCAAACAGGAUUAGAUACCCGCGUAGUCCCUGUCUCUUAUAC
rnacentral:rRNA from 1 species